CUUCCCCUCUCGCUUCCCAACAGCUCCUAAUCUUGGUGUGACAUCACUGGGAAUUACAGUUAUAGUAUCUACUGGAGUGCUAAGACCAAGCUAUUUAGCACAUCAAAACAACAGUAUUAGCAAACAGACCUUCAUUUAAGGUAAUUAUGCACCAAGGAGACUGCCUUAUCUUUCAUCUCCUGUUUAUUUUGUUAACAACCACCCAGAUUCUUUAAGUAAUACCUUCCCUGCUCUCAGCUACCAAAUCAGGAUUGAGGUGGAAGGCAGCUAGCUGAGCAGCUCAGCUCUACCAGCAGAAGGUGGGCAGGUGGGGGCUGAUGAGGGGAGAGCUGCCCACCCCCCACCGUCAGCCAGCCAGCAGCUGGGCUGCUAUGGAGCACUCAGCCUGCAGCACUUUGUGCAGCCCGGAGAGGAUAUCGGGUUAGGAGAAUGUGUGCUGCACUGCCUCAGUCCAGAGAGACUUCUGGAGAGUUCAGCAGAGCACAGGAGUGGAAAAAUGUCACUCACAUCGCAGAGAUGGAGAAGCAACAGAAUUCCUGAGUCUGGGGAGGAGAGCUACAAACCGGAUAGACUUUGCUGGGGUGGCUGUGAGGACGUCGCUGGUGGAUCGCCUCGUGGUAAAGCACAGCCACUCAGAUGAAGAAAAGCAUGAACUGUAAACAAAGGACUGCAAGAAAUGAAUGCGCUGUGCUACAGAGGGACGUCCAGGAACGCAUUAUUCAUUGACUAAACGUGUCAGUCCAAGACUCUUACUGUGGAAGUGCUGGAGAGUUAAGCAG
ensembl:lncRNA